rnacentral:tRNA from 1 species
AACUGUUUUAAAUAAAAAUGUUUUGAAAACACCUAUAGAGCUGCUAAGCUCAACAGUUAU